rnacentral:rRNA from 1 species
GACGAACGCUGGCGGCGUGCCUAACACAUGCAAGUCGAACGGGAGCAAGUGCUUCGGUAUUUGCUUUAGUGGCGAACGGGUGAGUAACACGUAAGCAACCUGCCUAUCAGAGGGGAACAACAGUUAGAAAUGACUGCUAAUACCGCAUAUGCCAUAGUCACCACAUGGUGAUAGUGGAAAAGGAACAAUCCGCUGAUAGAUGGGCUUGCGUCUGAUUAGAUAGUUGGUGGGGUAACGGCCUACCAAGUCGACGAUCAGUAGCCGAACUGAGAGGUUGAACGGCCACAUUGGGACUGAGAUACGGCCCAG